rfam:Plasmodiophora brassicae isolate e3 genome assembly, contig: scaffold_37
CCUCCUGUAGCUCAGUUGGCAGAGCGCCUGACUGUAGAUUCCACUGUCAUCGGGCGGUCCCUGGUUCGACUCCGGGCGGGAGGA